CGGGCGAGUAAUGUCUGGGAAACUGCCUGAUGGAGGGGGAUAACUACUGGAAACGGUAGCUAAUACUGCAUAACGUCGCAAGACCAAAGCGGGGGACCUCCGGGCCUCGCGCCAUCAGAUGAACCCAUAUGGGAUUAGCUUGUAGGUAAGGUAACGGCUUACCUAGGCGACGAUCCCUAGCUGGUCUGAGAGGAUGAUCAGCCACACUGGGACUGAGACACGGCCCAG
rnacentral:rRNA from 1 species